rnacentral:rRNA from 1 species
CAAUAGCGUAUAUUAAAGCUGUUGCGGUUAAAAAGCUCGUAGUUGGAUUUCUGUCAAGGACAGCUGGUCCGCCCUCCGGGUGAGCACAUAGUUUGGUCUUGACAUCUUGCUGGAAGCUGUUGCUGCACUUGGCUGUGUGGCGCAGUGUUCAGCACUUUCACUUUGAGGAAAUUGGAGUGUUUCAAGCAGGCACAUGCCUUUGGACACAGUAGCAUGGAAUAAUUAGAUUGGGCUUUUGCUCCAAUUUGUCGGUUUCUGGAGCUGAGGUGAGUAUUAAUGGGGAUUGUUGGGGGCAUCCGAAUUUAGCCGUCAGAGGUGAAAUUCUUGGAUCUGCUAAAGACGGACAACUGCGAAAGCGUUUGCCCAGGAUGUUUUCAUUGA